AGCAUAUCAAUAAGCGGAGGAAAAGAAACCAACAGGGAUUGCCUUAGUAACUGCGAGUGAAGCGGCAAAAGCUCAAAUUUGAAAUCUGGCGUCCUUGACGUCCGAGUUGUAAUUUGGAGGGAUAUCUUCGGAGUCGACGCCGCCCUAAGUUCUUUGGAACAGGACAUCAUAGAGGGUGAGAAUCCCGUGCCCGGGCGGCUGCUUGGUUCCAUGUGAAGUGUCUCCGACGAGUCGAGUUGUUUGGGAAUGCAGCUCAAAAUGGGUGGUAAAUUUCAUCUAAAGCUAAAUAUUGGCGAGAGACCGAUAGCGAACAAGUAGAGUGAUCGAAAGAUGAAAAGCACUUUGAAAAGAGAGUUAAAAAGUACGUGAAAUUGUUGAAAGGGAAGCGCAUGCGACCAGACUCAAUCUUUGGUGAUCAUCUGGGGUUCUCUCCAGUGCACUUGCCAUUGAUUGGGCCAGCAUCGGUUCUGGGGGUGGGAUAAAAGCCUUGGGAAUGUAGCUUCCUCACCGGAAGUGUUAUAGCCCGAGGCAUAAUGCCGCCACCCGGGACCGAGGACCGCGCUUCGGCUAGGAUGCUGGCGUAAUGGUCUCAUGCGACCCGUCU
rnacentral:rRNA from 1 species